GUGGGGAAUUUUGGACAAUGGGCGCAAGCCUGAUCCAGCAAUGCCGCGUGCAGGAAGAAGGCCUUCGGGUUGUAAACUGCUUUUGUACGGAACGAAACGGUCCUGGUUAAUACCUGGGGCUAAUGACGGUACCGUAAGAAUAAGCACCGGCUAACUACGUGCCAGCAGCCGCGGUAAUACGUAGGGUGCGAGCGUUAAUCGGAAUUACUGGGCGUAAAGCGUGCGCAGGCGGUGCUGUAAGACAGGCGUGAAAUCCCCGGGCUCAACCUGGGAAUUGCGCUUGUGACUGUAGUGCUGGAGUGCGGCAGAGGGGGAUGGAAUUCCGCGUGUAGCAGUGAAAUGCGUAGAUAUGCGGAGGAACACCGAUGGCGAAGGCAAUCCCCUGGGCCUGCACUGACGCUCAUGCACGAAAGCGUGGGGAGCAAACAGGAUUAGAAACCCUGGUAGUCC
rnacentral:rRNA from 1 species